rnacentral:rRNA from 1 species
UACGAAGGGGGCUAGCGUUGUUCGGAAUUACUGGGCGUAAAGGGCGCGCAGGCGGCUCUUCAAGUCAGAUGUGAAAGCCCCGGGCUCAACCUGGGAACUGCCUUUGAUACUGGUAGUCUUGAGUUCGAGAGAGGUGAGUGGAAUUCCGAGUGUAGAGGUGGAAUUCGUAGAUAUUCGCAAGAACACCAGUGGCGAAGGCGGCUCACUGGCCCGAUACUGACGCUGAGGCACGAAAGCGUGGGGAGCAAACAGGG